rnacentral:rRNA from 1 species
GACAGAGAGUGCAAACGUUGUUCGGAAUUACUGGGCGUAAAGCGCGUGUAGGCGGCCACGCACGUCCGUUGUGAAAUCGCCCGGCUCAACUGGGCGGGGUCAGCGGAUACGGUGUGGCUCGAGCAAGCUAGGGGGCAAUGGAAUUCCCGGUGUAGUGGUGGAAUGCGUAGAUAUCGGGAGGAACACCAGUGGCGAAGGCGGUUGCCUGGAGCUUUGCUGACGCUGAGGCGCGAAAGCGUGGGGAGCGAUCCGG